GCUUACGGCCAUACCACUCUGAGCAUGCCUGAUCUCGUCUGGUCUCAAAAGCUAAGCAGGAUUGGGCCAGGUUAGUACUUGGAUGGGAGACCGCCUGGGAAUACCAGG
rnacentral:rRNA from 12 species